rnacentral:rRNA from 2 species
UACAGAGGGUGCGAGCGUUGUCCGGAAUCACUGGGCGUAAAGGGCGCGUAGGUGGCUUGAUAAGCGUGUGGUGAAAGCCUGGGGCUCAACCCCAGGUCUGCCGUGCGAACUGCCAAGCUUGAGCAUAGUAGAGGCAGGUGGAAUUUCGGGUGUAGCGGUGGAAUGCGUAGAUAUCCGAAAGAACACCGGUGGCGAAGGCGGCCUGCUGGGCUAUUGCUGACACUGAGGCGCGACAGCGUGGGGAGCAAACAGG